ACAGAUUGUAGUUCUGGGGAGGUUUGGUAGGUCAGACAGAUUGUAGUUCUGGAGAGGUUUGGUAGGUCAGACAGAUUGUAGUUCUGGAGAGGUUUGGUAGGUCAGACAGAUUGUAGUUCUGGGGAGGUUUGGUAGGUCAGACAGAUUGUAGUUCUGGGGAGGUUUGGUAGGUCAGACAGAUUGUAGUUCUGGAGAGGUUUGGUAGGUGAGACAGAUUGUAGUUCUGGGGAGGUUUGGUAGGUCAGACAGAUUGUAGUUCUGGAGAGGUUUGGUAGGUCAGACAGAUUGUAGUUCUGGAGAGGUUUGGUAGGUCAGACAGAUUGUAGUUCUGGGGAGGUUUGGUAGGUCAGACAGAUUGUAGUUCUGGAGAGGUUUGGUAGGUCAGACAGAUUGUAGUUCUGGAGAGGUUUAGGCCACUGUGACAUUGAGAUGACAUACUGUAUACGCUACAGGCUUUCACAGUCUCACGUCAUCCAUGUUUCUCAAACAUCAAAUUCCGAAAUUGUUCAAAACGUCAAUGUGUUUACGGUUAGGUUUAGGCAUUUACUCCCAAUAUUUAAGGUUAGUGUUAAGUUCGGGCAUCAACUCCAAAUGGUUCAGGUAUGGGUUAUGGUUUGGAUAGGCUUAAAACGAAAAAUAUCAAAAACAACUGUCUAUCGCUGGAUUCAAACAUGCAAACUUCAGCACCAGAGGCAGACGCUUACACCUCCCCGUCCACAACACCCUAGCAAAACCGAAACCUACUUGAAGGUAACAGCGCUCACUUUUGCCCCUAGUGACGGUUUCCAGGUCCUUUAUCUGCUGGCAGCACAGCACUAACAGAAGGUCACUAAUGAUGCAGUGUGUGGUGGGUCAAUCAAGGCGACUAGUAUUAGCAGAGUAGCGUAGCAUCCUCCCCUACCAAGUAGGAUGAGUUUUAAUGAAUAAUGAACGAUGGAUGAAUAACCUGUUGAUGGAGGGGAGCGAUAGAGAGGAACAGACAGACAGAGAAAUAAUGUGUUAGAGAAAGAGAGAGGAACAGACAGACAGAGAAAUAAUGUGUUAGAGAAAGAGAGAGGAACAGACAGACAGAGAAAUAAUGUGUUAGAGAAAGAGAGAGGAACAGACAGACAGAGAAAUAAUGUGUUAGAGAAAGAGAGAGGAACAGACAGACAGAGAAAUAAUGUGUUAGAGAAAGAGAGGAACAGACAGACAGAGAAAUAAUGUGUUAGAGAUAGAGAGAGGAACAGACAGACAGAGAAAUAAUGUGUUAGAGAAAGAGAGAGGAACAGACAGACAGAGAAAUAAUGUGUUAGAGAAAGAGAGAGGAACAGACAGACAGAGAAAUAAUGUGUUAGAGAAAGAGAGAGGAACAGACAGACAGAGAAAUAAUGUGUUAGAGAAAGAGAGAGGAACAGACAGACAGAGAAAUAAUGUGUUAGAGAAAGAGAGGAACAGACAGACAGAGAAAUAAUGUGUUAGAGAUAGAGAGAGGAACAGACAGACAGAGAAAUAAUGUGUUAGAGAAAGAGAGAGGAACAGACAGACAGAGAAAUAAUGUGUUAGAGAAAGAGAGAGGAACAGACAGACAGAGAAAUAAUGUGUUAGAGAAAGAGAGAGGAACAGACAGACAGAGAAAUAAUGUGUUAGAGAAAGAGAGAGGAACAGACAGACAGAGAAAUAAUGUGUUAGAGAAAUAGAGAGGAACAGACAGACAGAGAAAUAAUGUGUUAGAGAAAGAGAGAGGAACAGACAGACAGAGAAAUAAUGUGUUAGAGAAAGAGAGAGGAACAGACAGACAGAGAAAUAAUGUGUUAGAGAAAGAGAGAGGAACAGACAGACAGAGAAAUAAUGUGUCAGAGAAAGAGAGAGGAACAGACAGACAGAGAAAUAAUGUGUUAGAGAAAGAGAGAGGAACAGACAGACAGACAGAGAAAUAAUGUGUUAGAGAAAGAGAGAGGAACAGACAGACAGACAGAGAAAUAAUGUGUCAGAGAAAGAGAGAGGAACAGACAGACAGAUAAAUAAUGUGUUAGAGAAAGAGAGAGGAACAGACAGACAGAGAAAUAAUGUGUGAGAGAAAGAGAGAGGAACAGACAGACAGACAGACAGAGAAAUAAUGUGUUAGAGAAAGAGAGAGGAACAGACAGACAGAGAAAUAAUGUGUUAGAGAAAGAGAGAGGAACAGACAGACAGAGAAAUAAUGUGUUAGAGAAAGAGAGAGGAACAGA